UGGGAACCUUCCCUAUGGUUCGGAAUAGCCCAGGGAAACUUGGGGUAAUACCGAAUAAGCCCUUCGGGGGAAAGAUUUAUCGCCAUUGGAUGGGCCCGCGUCGGAUUAGUUAGUUGGUGGGGUAACGGCCCACCAAGGCGACGAUCCGUAGCUGGUCUGAGAGGAUGAUCAGCCACACUGGGACUGAGACACGGCCCAGACUCCUACGGGAGGCAG
rnacentral:rRNA from 1 species